rnacentral:rRNA from 1 species
CUACGGGGGGCUGCAGUGAGGAAUAUUGCACAAUGGGGGGAACCCUGAUGCAGCAACGCCGCGUGGAGGAUGACGCAUUUCGGUGUGUAAACUCCUUUUAUAUGUCAAGAAAAUGACGGUAGCAUAUGAAUAAGCACCGGCUAACUCCGUGCCAGCAGCCGCGGUAAUACGGAGGGUGCAAGCGUUACUCGGAAUCACUGGGCGGAAAGGACGCGUAGGCGGGUUGGAAAGUCAGGUGUGAAAUCCUACAGCUUAACUGUAGAACUGCACUUGAAACUUCUAAUCUAGAGUAUGGGAGGGGGAGAUGGAAUUAGUGGUGUAGGGGUAAAAUCCGUAGAUAUCACUAGGAAUACCUAAAGCGAAGGCGAUCUCCUGGAACAUUACUGACGCUAAGGCGUGAAAGCGUGGGGAGCAAACAGUAUUAGAUACCCCUGUAGUC